UUUGAAAUCCGGCCCACCGCGGCCCGAGUUGUAAUCUGCAGGGGAUGCUUCUGGCGACGCGCCUUCCGAGUUCCCUGGAACGGGACGCCAUAGAGGGUGAGAGCCCCGUCCGGUCGGACGCCAAGCCUCUGUGAAGCUCCUCCGACGAGUCGAGUAGUUUGGGAAUGCUGCUCAAAGCGGGAGGUGUAUGUCUUCUAAAGCUAAAUACCGGCCAGAGACCGAUAGCGCACAAGUAGAGUGAUCGAAAGAUGAAAAGCACUUUGGAAAGAGGGUUAAACAGUACGUGAAAUUGUUGAAAGGGAAGCGCUCGUGACCAGACUCGGG
rnacentral:rRNA from 1 species